rnacentral:tRNA from 1 species
GACCUCAGUGGCUCCAUGGUAGAGCAUCUGCUUGGUAUGCAGAAUGUUCCAAGUUCAAUCCCUGGCAUCUUCA